CUCAACUCUUAGCAUGUCCACGUCGACAAAUUAAAUCAAGCAAUAGGAAAAGAGUGAUUCGCCACGUCAGAUUCGUCAUUUAAAUCAGUCGGGCUUCAAAACCAAUGUUAUUUGGCCCAUCUACUCUGAUCUAUCCUCCUGAGUUUCUCGUGAGCCGUUUACGUUCCCUGAAAUCUUCAGACCACGGUUUCUUCAGAUGUGUAACGAUGAGAGACUACGGAAGAUGAUAUAAUUGUAUAUCAAGUAACAUCUGAGGACAUUGUUGAUGACUUUGAGACGAAGUGGUUGAUGUUAAAGACAAAGAGCUUAAUAAGCAGAAGCUGAGGAGAAGAAUUGAUCAGCACAAGCUUCCACCGUGGAGGUGCGGCUGGUUCGUUUUCCCCAGCGCUCAUACUCGGUGAUGAUCGUGAUAAAAACAGUCGAUCCGGAGGAGGACAAUAAUUACUGGAAGAGCCACCCUGUAUGUCUUCUUGCGGUGAUUAUCUUAAAAGGAACUUCUCCUGGUGGCUUGAUUGAGGCAUGUUUCCCUUCAUGCAGUGUCCUAGAAUAAUCAUUAGCGAUGUAGAGGUAAGCAAGACUCUUGCUUGAACCAAGUACAUGGAGUAUGGUUUGAAAUGAGACUGAGGCAAGAACCUUCUCCAGGGUUCACAGCUGGAGACAAUACAAUACGACUACUGUGAUCACACAAGUUCCAUAUCAUGUGGUUUAUGCCAAAGAUGGAAAGGUGAUGAAGUACCCAGUUAUUUGAAGUGGUAACAGAUGGUGAGAAGUCGAAGGCGGGGAAGAAGCAAGCUAAGGCUCCAUGGGCAAAGCUACUUUCUCAGUAUUCUCAGGACAUUGAGUAUGGAUUCAUGAGCGGCGACAAGGACAACUUCAACCUCGCCGAUCUAACCGCCUCUCUUAAAGACAGGAUCGAGCUGGCCUUAUGAACUCUCUCAAGAACAAGCUAAUGGCUGGUCAGCGUUCUGAUGUUCUCGAGAGUCUGACUCCUCAAGUGAGAAACCGUGUUGAAGCCUUGAGGGACAUACAGGGAAAGCAUGAUGAGCUUGAUGCAGAGUUCCGUGAGGAGAGAGCUGUUCUUGAAACCAAGUAUGAUAAGUUGUAUCAGCCUUUGUAUACCAAGAAGAAACAGGUCAAGGAUCCGGAGCUUGAUGAAGAGGAGUUGAAGAAGUUCCAAGAGGUAACUUAAUCAAAUAAGAAAGUUUCUCCCGAAGAUGAAGAUAACCCAAACCCGAGUCAGUCCAACGCCUCUACCUUGAGUCGAAGGUCACAUCUAUGGUGGUGAUUUGUUACCUGGUUAAGGAGAUGCCCUAGAACAGUAUGUCCGGUAAGGUAAAUGUAUCCAAUGUAGAGAAAUAUUAGGUCUUAACUCUGACGAGAUUCAGAAGGUUGAGGGUCUUGGUUAUGUGAUGUGGAAGUAGGCAUGAAAGGAUGAAUGAUAAUUGCAUCAUAAAGAAAAACCAGGUUUAAAGUGCUGAAGAGGUUCAGAAAUUUGAGGAUCUUGGUUAUGUGAUAUAGAAGGUCAACGAUUGUUUGAAUCCGGCAUUGGCCAUGUUUAACUAUGAGGAGAAGGGUUUGGUUAUGUCUGAUCUGUAGCGGUUUGUGCAACUCUAUAUGGGAGAAGACCCCAACUAUGAUCCUUCUGGUGAUGUACAGACUGAUGGAGCAGAUGACUGAUUUGAUUUCUUAUGUUGAUUGUGUGGGACUGUAGGUACUUAUUGUUAUUGUUUGUUUGCUACUUACCCGUUAACUAGAUGCAUAAUUUAUGUGUAGAUAUAUUGCAUGUGUUAAAGAUGAAACAUCUUGGUUUAGCAAAUCUUUUUAUUUAUUUUUCGAUAGUUAGCUAUGGGAAACACUCCACACUUUCCAUUUAAAAAGAAACGCCGAUGGCCUAGACAAAAGCAUCAUGUAAAUUUAAGUGAU